CGCGUAGGUGGUAGUGUAAGUCUGGGGUGGAAUCCCAGGGCUUAACCCUGGAACUGCCUUGGAAACUGUAUUACUUGAGUCAGUGAGGGGAGGGUAGAAUUCCUGGUGUAGCGGUGAAAUGCGUAGAUAUCAGGAGGAAGGCCCGUGGCGAAGGCGGCCCUCUGGCGCUGGACUGACACUGAGGCGCGAAAGCGUGGGGAGCAAACAGGAUUAGAUACCCUGGUAGUCCACGCCCCUAAACGGUGGGCACUAGGUGUAGGGCUCGUAAGGGUUCUGUGCCGAAGGGAAACCAUUAAGUGCCCCGCCUGGGGAGUACGGCCGCAAGGUUGAA
rnacentral:rRNA from 1 species